GACGAACCGUGCGAACGUUGUUCGGAAUCACUGGGCGUAAAGGGCGCGUAGGCGGCUUGAUAAGCGUGCGGUGAAAGCUCGGGGCUCAACCCCGAGUCGGCCGUGCGAACUGUCGAGCUUGAGCACAGUAGAGGCAGAUGGAAUUCCGGGUGUAGCGGUGGAAUGCGUAGAGAUCCGGAAGAACACCGGUGGCGAAGGCGGGUCUGCUGGGCUGUGGCUG
rnacentral:rRNA from 1 species